rnacentral:tRNA from 1 species
GGCUCGAUCGUCUAACGGUUAGGACGCGAGGUUUUCAUCCUCGCAACCGGGGUCCGACUCCCCGUCGAGUCA